GGAUUCCCCUAGUAACUGCGAGUGAAGCGGGAAAAGCUCAAAUUUAAAAUCUGGCAGUCUCUGGCUGUCCGAGUUGUAAUCUAGAGAAGUAAUGCCCGUGCUGGACCGUGUAUAAGUCUCCUGGGAUGGGGCGUCAUAGAGGGUGAGAAUCCCGUCUUUGACACGGACUACCAGUGCAUUGUGGUAUGCUCUCAAAGAGUCGAGUUGUUUGGGAAUGCAGCUCAAAAUGGGUGGUAAAUUCCAUCUAAAGCUAAAUAYUGGCGAGAGACCGAUAGCGAACAAGUACCGUGAGGGAAAGAUGAAAAGAACUUUGGAAAGAGAGUUAAACAGUACGUGAAAUUGCUGAAAGGGAAACGCUUGAAGUCAGUCGCGUUGGCCGGGAAUCAGCCUUGCUUUUGCAUGGUGUACUUUCUGGUUGAUGGGUCAGCAUCAAUUUUGACUGCUGGAAAAAGUCCUGGGGAAUGUGGCAGCUCCGGCUGUGUUAUAGCCCCUAGUCGCAUACAGUGGUUGGGAUUGAGGAACUCAGCACGCCGCAAGGCCGGGUUUCGACCACGUUCGUGCUUAGGAUGCUGGCAUAAUGGCUUUAAGCGACCCGUCUUGAAACACGGACCAAGGAGUCUAACAUGCCUGCGAGUAUUUGGGUGGAAAACCCAAGUGCGUAAUGAAAGUGAAAGUUGAGAUCCCUGUCGUGGGGAGCAUCGACGCCCGGACCAGAACUUUUGGGACGGAUCCGCGGUGGAGCAUGUAUGUUGGGACCCGAAAGAUGGUGAACUAUGCCUGAAUAGGGUGAAGCCAGAGGAAACUCUGGUGGAGGCUCGUAGCGAUUCUGACGUGCAAAUCGAUCGUCAAAUUUGGGUAUAGGGGCGAAAGACUAAUCG
rnacentral:rRNA from 1 species